UUCAAAAAGAACUAGGGGGUCUGAC
rnacentral:piRNA from 1 species